ACGGGUGAGUAACACGUGGGCAACCUGCCCCUUAGACUGGGAUAACUCCGGGAAACCGGAGCUAAUACCGGAUAAUCCCUUUCUCCACCUGGAGAGAGGGUGAAAGAUGGCUUCGGCUAUCACUAGGGGAUGGGCCCGCGGCGCAUUAGCUAGUUGGUAAGGUAACGGCUUACCAAGGCAACGAUGCGUAGCCGACCUGAGAGGGUGAUCGGCCACACUGGGACUGAGACACGGCCCAGACUCCUACGGGAGGCAGCAGUAGGGAAUCUUCCGCAAUGGACGAAAGUCUGACGGAGCAACGCCGCGUGAGUGAGGAAGGCCUUCGGGUCGUAAAGCUCUGUUGUGAGGGAGGAAGCGGUACCGUUCGAAUAGGGCGGUACCUUGACGGUACCUCACCAGAAAGCCACGGCUAACUACGUGCCAGCAGCCGCGGUAAUACGUAGGUGGCAAGCGUUGUCCGGAAUUAUUGGGCGUAAAGCGCGCGCAGGCGGCUUCUUAAGUCUGAUGUGAAAUCUCGGGGCUCAACCCCGAGCGGCCAUUGGAAACUGGGGAGCUUGAGUGCAGAAGAGGAGAGUGGAAUUCCAC
rnacentral:rRNA from 1 species